ACACACCACACGGGCCUUCCAGGGAUCUCCAGUAUUUUGGAGAAGCUGCAUAGAGCUCCUAGAUAGAGGUGUACCACAUCUGCUCUGGUCCUGCUGGGAGGCAGCAGCUCACUAGCUGACUAGAUCUGCCUGUCCAGACUGAGCUGGUUCUGUCAGCUUCACCUACGGAGUGGGGAGGCUGAGCCGACUCUGCUCUUCUCAGACUACUAGCGAAGCAGAUGAGCUCUCCUUUUCUCCUGGAGGUAAAGCUGCCAGACUUCUCCUGGAGCAGCACAGACAGCAGUUACGGUGAAGGUUCCAGAAUUCAAGGGCCUUCGUUUGAAAUGGAGCUUCGCCGCCAUUGAGUUCAUUUCCUGGGAACCUUACUGUGUCCCAUGACAGAAGCCCACAUGGUGAUGCCUUACAAAUUAAGAACUCACCUUUCUUCAGUUCUGCAUGAAGAGGAGAUGGUCCAGAGGAUGUGGCAAUGAUACAGAUACAACCAGAGAAGAAGUUGGUGUUCUUUUCUAAACCAUGGUAAAAAUAACAGGACAUCAUGUAGGAUGAGCGAGUACCAGAAGUUUAGAGGGUGAUGUCCAAGAAAUAAAAGAAUGCUCCAGGAGUCUGAGAUGAAUUCUCCACAGAUCCUUACCCGUCUGGAAGAUUAUGUAUGCCUGGGGGAGUCUCAAAAGAACCGAGGAAACGUAAACAUGAAGGAGGAUUGAGAAAAGGCUGCAAUGUUCUCUGUCCCUCAUACAGACCUAGAGGAAAAUUAUGGCAACCUGGCUGGUCCUGGGCCAGUGCUGUUCCCUUGGCUCUAUACAUCUAAGGCAUCGAAGACUCCCAAGGAUACGGAGUGACUCUGGGUAUCAGCUUAGCACAUGUUAUUUUAGGUGUUUCAACAGUGACACCAUUGAGGUAGUGUGGCUUAGUGAAGGAAUGUGGGCUUGGACGGGAUAGAAUGGGGUUGUCAUUCCACAGUUAUAAGUUAAUAUUCUUAUUAACUUGGGCAAUCAUGUGACUACUCAGUAUCCUAUUUAAAUCUUAUAAAUGCCCACUGAAGUAGGCAUGGACUACUUCUGUGUUGUGGAUACUUUUUAA